UUAAGCGACUAAGCGUACACGGUGGAUGCCCUGGCAGUCAGAGGCGAUGAAGGACGUGCUAAUCUGCGAUAAGCGUCGGUAAGGUGAUAUGAACCGUUAUAACCGGCGAUUUCCGAAUGGGGAAACCCAGUGUGAUUCGUCACACUAUCAUUAACUGAAUCCAUAGGUUAAUGAGGCGAACCGGGGGAACUGAAACAUCUAAGUACCCCGAGGAAAAGAAAUCAACCGAGAUUCCCCCAGUAGCGGCGAGCGAACGGGGAGCAGCCCAGAGCCUGAAUCAGUGUGUGUGUUAGUGGAAGCGUCUGGAAAGGCGCGCGAUACAGGGUGACAGCCCCGUACACAAAAAUGCACAUACUGUGAGCUCGAUGAGUAGGGCGGGACACGUGGUAUCCUGUCUGAAUAUGGGGGGACCAUCCUCCAAGGCUAAAUACUCCUGACUGACCGAUAGUGAACCAGUACCGUGAGGGAAAGGCGAAAAGAACCCCGGCGAGGGGAGUGAAAAAGAACCUGAAACCGUGUACGUACAAGCAGUGGGAGCACAGAGCAAUCUGUGUGACUGCGUACCUUUUGUAUAAUGGGUCAGCGACUUAUAUUCUGUAGCAAGGUUAACCGAAUAGGGGAGCCGAAGGGAAACCGAGUCUUAACUGGGCGUUAAGUUGCAGGGUAUAGACCCGAAACCCGGUGAUCUAGCCAUGGGCAGGUUGAAGGUUGGGUAACACUAACUGGAGGACCGAACCGACUAAUGUUGAAAAAUUAGCGGAUGACUUGUGGCUGGGGGUGAAAGGCCAAUCAAACCGGGAGAUAGCUGGUUCUCCCCGAAAGCUAUUUAGGUAGCGCCUCGUGAAUUCAUCUCCGGGGGUAGAGCACUGUUUCGGCAAGGGGGUCAUCCCGACUUACCAACCCGAUGCAAACUGCGAAUACCGGAGAAUGUUAUCACGGGAGACACACGGCGGGUGCUAACGUCCGUCGUGAAGAGGGAAACAACCCAGACCGCCAGCUAAGGUCCCAAAGUCAUGGUUAAGUGGGAAACGAUGUGGGAAGGCCCAGACAGCCAGGAUGUUGGCUUAGAAGCAGCCAUCAUUUAAAGAAAGCGUAAUAGCUCACUGGUCGAGUCGGCCUGCGCGGAAGAUGUAACGGGGCUAAACCAUGCACCGAAGCUGCGGCAGCGACGCUUAUGCGUUGUUGGGUAGGGGAGCGUUCUGUAAGCCUGCGAAGGUGUGCUGUGAGGCAUGCUGGAGGUAUCAGAAGUGCGAAUGCUGACAUAAGUAACGAUAAAGCGGGUGAAAAGCCCGCUCGCCGGAAGACCAAGGGUUCCUGUCCAACGUUAAUCGGGGCAGGGUGAGUCGACCCCUAAGGCGAGGCCGAAAGGCGUAGUCGAUGGGAAACAGGUUAAUAUUCCUGUACUUGGUGUUACUGCGAAGGGGGGACGGAGAAGGCUAUGUUGGCCGGGCGACGGUUGUCCCGGUUUAAGCGUGUAGGCUGGUUUUCCAGGCAAAUCCGGAAAAUCAAGGCUGAGGCGUGAUGACGAGGCACUACGGUGCUGAAGCAACAAAUGCCCUGCUUCCAGGAAAAGCCUCUAAGCAUCAGGUAACAUCAAAUCGUACCCCAAACCGACACAGGUGGUCAGGUAGAGAAUACCAAGGCGCUUGAGAGAACUCGGGUGAAGGAACUAGGCAAAAUGGUGCCGUAACUUCGGGAGAAGGCACGCUGAUAUGUAGGUGAAGUCCCUCGCGGAUGGAGCUGAAAUCAGUCGAAGAUACCAGCUGGCUGCAACUGUUUAUUAAAAACACAGCACUGUGCAAACACGAAAGUGGACGUAUACGGUGUGACGCCUGCCCGGUGCCGGAAGGUUAAUUGAUGGGGUCAGCGCAAGCGAAGCUCUUGAUCGAAGCCCCGGUAAACGGCGGCCGUAACUAUAACGGUCCUAAGGUAGCGAAAUUCCUUGUCGGGUAAGUUCCGACCUGCACGAAUGGCGUAAUGAUGGCCAGGCUGUCUCCACCCGAGACUCAGUGAAAUUGAACUCGCUGUGAAGAUGCAGUGUACCCGCGGCAAGACGGAAAGACCCCGUGAACCUUUACUAUAGCUUGACACUGAACAUUGAGCCUUGAUGUGUAGGAUAGGUGGGAGGCUUUGAAGUGUGGACGCCAGUCUGCAUGGAGCCGACCUUGAAAUACCACCCUUUAAUGUUUGAUGUUCUAACGUGGACCCGUGAUCCGGGUUGCGGACAGUGUCUGGUGGGUAGUUUGACUGGGGCGGUCUCCUCCUAAAGAGUAACGGAGGAGCACGAAGGUUGGCUAAUCCUGGUCGGACAUCAGGAGGUUAGUGCAAUGGCAUAAGCCAGCUUGACUGCGAGCGUGACGGCGCGAGCAGGUGCGAAAGCAGGUCAUAGUGAUCCGGUGGUUCUGAAUGGAAGGGCCAUCGCUCAACGGAUAAAAGGUACUCCGGGGAUAACAGGCUGAUACCGCCCAAGAGUUCAUAUCGACGGCGGUGUUUGGCACCUCGAUGUCGGCUCAUCACAUCCUGGGGCUGAAGUAGGUCCCAAGGGUAUGGCUGUUCGCCAUUUAAAGUGGUACGCGAGCUGGGUUUAGAACGUCGUGAGACAGUUCGGUCCCUAUCUGCCGUGGGCGCUGGAGAAUUGAGGGGGGCUGCUCCUAGUACGAGAGGACCGGAGUGGACGCAUCACUGGUGUUCGGGUUGUCAUGCCAAUGGCACUGCCCGGUAGCUAAAUGCGGAAGAGAUAAGUGCUGAAAGCAUCUAAGCACGAAACUUGCCCCGAGAUGAGUUCUCCCUGACUCCUUGAGAGUCCUGAAGGAACGUUGAAGACGACGACGUUGAUAGGCCGGGUGUGUAAGCGCAGCGAUGCGUUGAGCUAACCGGUACUAAUGAACCGUGAGGCUUAACCUU
rnacentral:rRNA from 1 species